rnacentral:rRNA from 1 species
CGGGGAGAGCUCAAAUUUGAAAUCUGGCGUCCUCAGGGCGUCCGAGUUGUAAUCUAUAGAGGCGUUUUCCGUGCCGGACCGUGUCCAAGUUCCUUGGAACAGGAUAUCAAAGAGGGUGACAAUCCCGUACUUGACACGACGACCGGUGCUCUGUGAUACGUCUUCUACGAGUCGAGUUGUUUGGGAAUGCAGCUCAAAAUGGGUGGUGAGUUCCAUCUAAAGCUAAAUAUUGGCGAGAGACCGAUAGCGAACAAGUACCGUGAGGGAAAGAUGAAAAGCACUUUGGAAAGAGAGUUAAACAGUACGUGAAAUUGUUGAAAGGGAAACGAUUGAAGUCAGUCGUGACCGAGAGGCUCAGCCGGUUCUGCCGGUGUAUUCCCCUCGGUCGGGUCAACAUCAGUUUUGUCCGGUGGAUAAGGACGGUAGGAAGGUGGCACCCUCGGGUGUGUUAUAGCCUGCCGUCGCAUACAUCGGGUGAGACUGAGGAACGCAGCUCGCCUUUAUGGCCGGGGUUCGCCCACGUCCGAGCUUAGGAUGUUGACAUAAUGGCUUUAAACGACCCGUCUUGAAACACG